rnacentral:rRNA from 1 species
UACGGAGGGUGCGAGCGUUGUCCGGAAUCACUGGGCGUAAAGGGCGCGUAGGCGGCGCGGGUAGUCAUCGGUGAAAGUUCAGGGCUCAACUCUGAAUCGGCCGGUGAUACUCCCGUGCUCGAGCACUGUAGAGGCAGGUGGAAUUCCGGGUGUAGCGGUGGAAUGCGUAGAGAUCCGGAAGAACACCGGUGGCGAAGGCGGCCUGCUGGGCGCAGUAGCUGACGCUGAUGCGCCGACAGCGU